ACUUAAAUUGAAGAGUUUGAUCAUGGCUCAGAUUGAACGCUGGCGGCAGGCCUAACACAUGCAAGUCGAACGGUAACAGGAAGCAGCUUGCUGCUUCGCUGACGAGUGGCGGACGGGUGAGUAAUGUCUGGGAAACUGCCUGAUGGAGGGGGAUAACUACUGGAAACGGUGGCUAAUACCGCAUAACGUCGCAAGACCAAAGAGGGGGACCUUCGGGCCUCUUGCCAUCAGAUGUGCCCAGAUGGGAUUAGCUUGUUGGUGAGGUAACGGCUCACCAAGGCGACGAUCCCUAGCUGGUCUGAGAGGAUGACCAGCCACACUGGAACUGAGACACGGUCCAGACUCCUACGGGAGGCAGCAGUGGGGAAUAUUGCACAAUGGGCGCAAGCCUGAUGCAGCCAUGCCGCGUGUAUGAAGAAGGCCUUCGGGUUGUAAAGUACUUUCAGCGGGGAGGAAGGUGUUGUGGUUAAUAACCGCAGCAAUUGACGUUACCCGCAGAAGAAGCACCGGCUAACUCCGUGCCAGCAGCCGCGGUAAUACGGAGGGUGCAAGCGUUAAUCGGAAUUACUGGGCGUAAAGCGCACGCAGGCGGUCUGUCAAGUCGGAUGUGAAAUCCCCGGGCUCAACCUGGGAACUGCAUUCGAAACUGGCAGGCUUGAGUCUUGUAGAGGGGGGUAGAAUUCCAGGUGUAGCGGUGAAAUGCGUAGAGAUCUGGAGGAAUACCGGUGGCGAAGGCGGCCCCCUGGACAAAGACUGACGCUCAGGUGCGAAAGCGUGGGGAGCAAACAGGAUUAGAUACCCUGGUAGUCCACGCCGUAAACGAUGUCUACUUGGGGGUUGUGCCCUUGAGGCGUGGCUUCCGGAGCUAACGCGUUAAGUAGACCGCCUGGGGAGUACGGCCGCAAGGUUAAAACUCAAAUGAAUUGACGGGGGCCCGCACAAGCGGUGGAGCAUGUGGUUUAAUUCGAUGCAACGCGAAGAACCUUACCUGGUCUUGACAUCCACAGAAGAAUCCAGAGAUGGAUUUGUGCCUUCGGGAACUGUGAGACAGGUGCUGCAUGGCUGUCGUCAGCUCGUGUUGUGAAAUGUUGGGUUAAGUCCCGCAACGAGCGCAACCCUUAUCCUUUGUUGCCAGCGAUUAGGUCGGGAACUCAAAGGAGACUGCCAGUGAUAAACUGGAGGAAGGUGGGGAUGACGUCAAGUCAUCAUGGCCCUUACGACCAGGGCUACACACGUGCUACAAUGGCGCAUACAAAGAGAAGCGACCUCGCGAGAGCAAGCGGACCUCAUAAAGUGCGUCGUAGUCCGGAUUGGAGUCUGCAACUCGACUCCAUGAAGUCGGAAUCGCUAGUAAUCGUGGAUCAGAAUGCCACGGUGAAUACGUUCCCGGGCCUUGUACACACCGCCCGUCACACCAUGGGAGUGGGUUGCAAAAGAAGUAGGUAGCUUAACCUUCGGGAGGGCGCUUACCACUUUGUGAUUCAUGACUGGGGUGAAGUCGUAACAAGGUAACCGUAGGGGAACCUGCGGUUGGAUCACCUCCUUACCUUAAAGAA
rnacentral:rRNA from 2 species